rnacentral:tRNA from 1 species
AAGAAAUUAGUUAAAAAAUAACAAUAAAUUGUCAAAUUAUAAUUAUUAAUUUUAAUUAAUAUUUCUUA